CACCCGUGUCUUUUGCGCACUUGUUGUUUCCUGGGCGGGCUCGCCCGCCACCAGGACCAAACCAUAAACCUUUUUCUUUUGCAGUUUUCAUCAGCGUCAGUAAAAAACAAUGUAAUUAUUACAACUUUCAACAACGGAUCUCUUGGUUCUGGCAUCGAUGAAGAACGCAGCGAAAUGCGAUACGUAGUGUGAAUUGCAGAAUUCAGUGAAUCAUCGAAUCUUUGAACGCACAUUGCGCCCUUUGGUAUUCCAAAGGGCAUGCCUGUUCGAGCGUCAUUUGUACCUUCAAGCUUUGCUUGGUGUUGGGCGUUUUUUGUCUCUCCUUGCGGGAGACUCGCCUUAAAACGAUUGGCAGCCGGCCUACUGGUUUCGGAGCGCAGCACAUUUUUUGCGCUUUGUAUCAGGAGAAAAGGACGGUACUCCAUCAAGACGUUUACAUUUUUAACUUUUGACCUCGGAUCAGGUAGGGAUACCCGCUGAACUUAAGCAUAUCAAUAGGCCCGGAGGAA
rnacentral:rRNA from 1 species